AUGAGUGUCACAUUAUGGGCCGUGUGGUAUGCAAGGCACAAGGCGAUUUAUGAAUCUCUUUUUCAAAACCCACACCAGACUGUUUCCUUUGUAGACUCUUAUCUUCAAGAGCUACAUCAAGCUAUCACUUGUGAGCCUAGGGUUCAAGUUCAGGAGGAAAGGGAGCAGCAACGGCAAUGGAUUCCACCUCCGCCUGGCUCAAAUAAGAUAAACGUGGAUGGGGCACUCUCAAGAAACAGGCGAGUGGGAGUUGCUGCGGCAGUAUGUCGUUCCUCAAACGGCAACUAUCUUGGCGCAUCGGCGGUGGUCUAUGGGGGUGUACGUGACCCAAUGAUUUUGGAGACAUACGCGUGUCGGGAGGCUUUAGCGUUGGCUGAAGAUCUCCACGAGCAGAAUAUUAGGGUGGCAUCGGAUUGCCAACGUGUGGUGCAGGAUAUCAAUGAAGGGACAGCUGGCCCCAAUGCGGCUGUUAUACAUGAAAUAACGAACCGCAAGGAUAGUUUUACUUCUUACUCUUUUGUGUUUGAGCGUAGGAAUUUUAAUUUCGAGGCUCAU
rnacentral:rRNA from 1 species